CCAACUGGGCAGAGGGAUCCUCCUCCCAUCAUCACUGGUUCUCAGCAGGACGGUUUGCUGCUUGGGAAACAAUCCCUCUGCCCAGUGCUCCCUCCCACACUUCGGUUGGAGACUGUC